GACGAACGCUGGCGGCGUGCUUAACACAUGCAAGUCGAACGAUGAAGCCCAGCUUGCUGGGUGGAAGAGUGGCGAACGGGUGAGUAACACGUGAGUAACCUGCCCUGAACUCUGGGAUAAGCACUGGAAACGGUGUCUAAUACUGGAUACGACCUAUCACCGCAUGGUGUGUGGGUGGAAAGAUUUAUCGGUUCUGGAUGGACUCGCGGCCUAUCAGCUAGAUGGUGAGGUAAUGGCUCACCAUGGCGACGACGGGUAGCCGGCCUGAGAGGGCGACCGGCCACACUGGGACUGAGACACGGCCCAGACUCCUACGGGAGGCAGCAGUGGGGAAUAUUGCACAAUGGGCGCAAGCCUGAUGCAGCAACGCCGCGUGAGGGAUAACGGCCUUCGGGUUGUAAACCUCUUUUAGUGGGGAAGAAGCGAAAGUGACGGUACCUGCAGAAAAAGCACCGGCUAACUACGUG
rnacentral:rRNA from 1 species